rnacentral:rRNA from 1 species
GAUGAACGCUAGCGGCAGGCUUAACACAUGCAAGUCGAGGGGUAUAGGGAGCUUGCUUCCUAGAGACCGGCGCACGGGUGCGUAACGCGUAUGCAAUCUACCUUUUGCAGAGGGAUAGCCCAGAGAAAUUUGGAUUAAUACCUCAUAGUAUGUGAGAAUGGCAUCAUUUUCACAUUAAAGUCACAACGGCAAAAGAUGAGCAUGCGUCCCAUUAGCUUGUUGGUAAGGUAACGGCUUACCAAGGCAACGAUGGGUAGGGGGCCUGAGAGGGAGAUCCCCCACACUGGUACUGAGACACGGACCAGACUCCUACGGGAGGCAGCAGUGGA